rnacentral:rRNA from 1 species
UAUCCUACGGGGCGCAGCAGUGGGGGAUAUUGCACAAUGGGGGGAACCCUGAUGCAGCGACGCCGCGUGAGGGAAGACGGCCUUCGGGUUGUAAACCUCUGUCGCAGGGGACGAAGGAGAUGACGGUACCUGAAGAAGAAGCCCCGGCUAACUACGUGCCAGCAGCCGCGGUAAUACGUAGGGGGCAAGCGUUAUCCGGAUUUACUGGGGGUAACGGGGGCGCAGACAGCGAUGCAAGCCAGGAGUGAAAGCCCGGGGCCCAACCCCGGGACUGCUCUUGGAACUGCGUGGCUGGAGUGCAGGAG